rnacentral:rRNA from 1 species
AGCGAACGCUGGCGGCAGGCCUAACACAUGCAAGUCGAACGAACUCUUCGGAGUUAGUGGCGGACGGGUGAGUAACACGUGGGAACGUGCCUUUUGGUUCGGAAUAACUCAGGGAAACUUGUGCUAAUACCGAAUGUGCCCUUCGGGGGAAAGAUUUAUCGCCAUUAGAGCGGCCCGCGUCUGAUUAGCUAGUUGGUGAGGUAACGGCUCACCAAGGCGACGAUCAGUAGCUGGUCUGAGAGGAUGACCAGCCACACUGGGACUGAGACACGGCCCAGACUCCUACGGGAGGCAGCGGUGGGGAAUCUUGCGCAAUGGGCGAAAGCCUGACGCAGCCAUGCCGCGUGAAUGAUGAAGGUCUUAGGAUUGUAAAAUUCUUUCACCGGGGACGAUAAUGACGGUACCCGGAGAAGAGGCCCCGGCUAACUUCGUG